UACGGAGGGGGCUAGCGUUGUUCGGAAUUACUGGGCGUAAAGUGUGCGCAGGCGGCCGCGCAAGUCGAGUGUGAAAGCCCCCGGGCUUAACUUGGGAAUUGCGCUCGAAACUACGUGGCUGGAGUGUGGCAGAGGAAGGUGGAAUUCCACGUGUAGCGGUGAAAUGCGUAGGAGAUGUGGAGGAACACCAAUGGCGAAGGCAGCCUUCUGGGCCGAACACGUGACGCUCGAUGACACGAAGCGUGGGGAGCAACAGGA
rnacentral:rRNA from 1 species